rnacentral:rRNA from 1 species
GGGGAAUAUUGCACAAUGGACGCAAGCCUGAUGCAGCGACGCCGCGUGGGGGAUGAAGGCCUUCGGGUUGUAAACUCCUUUCGCUAGGGACGAAGCUUUUUGGUGACGGUACCUAGAUAAGAAGCACCGGCUAACUACGUGCCAGCAGCCGCGGUAAUACGUAGGGUGCGAGCGUUGUCCGGAAUUACUGGGCGUAAAGGGCUCGUAGGUGGUUUGUCGCGUCGUCUGUGAAAUUCUGGGGCUUAACUCCGGGCGUGCAGGCGAUACGGGCAUAACUUGAGUGCUGUAGGGGUAACUGGAAUUCCUGGUGUAGCGGUGGAAUGCGCAGAUAUCAGGAGGAACACCGAUGGCGAAGGCAGGUUACUGGGCAGUUACUGACGCUGAGGAGCGAAAGCAUGGGUAGCGAACAGGAUUAGAUACCCUGGUAGUCCAUGCCGUAAACGGUGGGCGCUAGGUGUGAGGGUCUUUCUACGACUUUCGUGCCGUAGCUAACGCAUUAAGCGCCCCGCCUGGGGGGUACGGCCGCAAGGCUA